GCCGAUGUAGCUCAGUUGGUAGAGCAUCUCACUCGUAAUGAGAAGGUCUCCAGUUCGAUUCUGGACAUCGGCUCCA
rnacentral:tRNA from 1 species